CCUACGGGGGAUGAAGUGAGGAAGAGUGGUCAAGGGGCGCGAGCCGGAACCAGUCAAGUAGCGUGAAGGAGGACGGCCCUACGGGUUGUAAACUUCUUUUAUAAAGGAAGAAAGUGAGGCACGGGUGCCGUUUUGUAUGUACGUUAGGAAUAAGGAACGGCUAACUCCGUGCCAGCAGCCGCGGUAAGACGGAGGAUCCGAGCGUUAUCCGGAUUUCUUGGGUUUAAAGGGAGCGUAGAUGGGUUGUUAAGUCAGUUGUGAAAGUUUGCGGCUCAACCGUAAAAUUGCAAUUGAUACUGGCAGCCUUGCGUACAGUUGCGGUAGGCGGAAUUCGUGGUGUAGCGGU
rnacentral:rRNA from 1 species